rnacentral:rRNA from 1 species
GUAGGUGGCAAGCGUUGUCCGGAAUUAUUGGGCGUAAAGCGCGCGCAGGCGGUCCUUUAAGUCUGAUGUGAAAGCCCACGGCUCAACCGUGGAGGGUCAUUGGAAACUGGGGGACUUGAGUACAGAAGAGGAAAGCGGAAUUCCAAGUGUAGCGGUGAAAUGCGUAGAGAUUUGGAGGAACACCAGUGGCGAAGGCGGCUUUCUGGUCUGUAACUGACGCUGAGGCGCGAAAGCGUGGGGAGCAAACAGGAUUAGAUACCCUGGUAGUCCACGCCGUAAACGAUGAGUGCUAAGUGUUAGGGGGUUUCCCGCCCCCCUUAGUGCUGCAGCUAACGCAUUAAGCACUCCGCCUGGGGUAGUACGGCCGCAAGGCUG